rnacentral:rRNA from 1 species
GAUGAACGCUGGCGGCGUGCCUAAUACAUGCAAGUCGAGCGAACAGACGAGGAGCUUGCUCCUCUGACGUUAGCGGCGGACGGGUGAGUAACACGUGGAUAACCUACCUAUAAGACUGGGAUAACUUCGGGAAACCGGAGCUAAUACCGGAUAAUAUAUUGAACCGCAUGGUUCAAUAGUGAAAGACGGUUUUGCUGUCACUUAUAGAUGGAUCCGCGCCGCAUUAGCUAGUUGGUAAGGUAACGGCUUACCAAGGCAACGAUGCGUAGCCGACCGGAGAGGGUGAUCGGCCACCCUGGAACUGAGACACGGUCCCGACUCCUACGGGAGGCAGCAGUAGGGAAUCUUCCGCAAUGGGCGAAAGCCUGACGGAGCAACGCCGCGUGAGUGAUGAAGGUCUUCGGAUCGUAAAACUCUGUUAUUAGGGAAGAACAAAUGUGUAAGUAACUAUGCACGUCUUGACGGUACCUAAUCAGAAAGCCACGGCUAACUACGUG